rnacentral:rRNA from 1 species
CCCUUAGAUGUUCUGGGCCGCACGCGUGCUGCACUGAGUGGAUCAGCGGGUCAGGUUGCGCGAAAGUGUUUCCUAAUCUUGAAAUCCGCUCGUGAUGGGGAUUGACGGUUGCAAUUUUCUGUCAUGAACGAGGAAUACCUUGUAAGCGCGGGUCAUCAUCCCGCGCUGAAUACGUCCCUGCCCUUUGUACACACCGCCCGUCGCUCCUACCGAUUGAGUGGUCCGGUGAGGCUUUGGGAUCUGGAUGGAAAGAGCGUUUCGCUGUUUCUGCCCGGAAAACUCAGUCGAACCUUAUCAUUUAGAGGAAGGAGAAGUCGUAACA